AGUGAACGCUGGCGGUAGGCCUAACACGUGCAAGUCAAACGGCAGCACAGUAAGAGCUUGCUCUUACGGGUGGCGAGUGGCGGACGGGUGAGGAAUACAUCGGAAUCUACUUUUUCGUGGGGGAUAACGUAGGGAAACUUACGCUAAUACCGCAUACGACCUACGGGUGAAAGCAGGGGAUCUUCGGACCUUGCGCGAUUGAAUGAGCCGAUGUCGGAUUAGCUAGUUGGCGGGGUAAAGGCCCACCAAGGCGACGAUCCGUAGCUGGUCUGAGAGGAUGAUCAGCCACACUGGAACUGAGACACGGUCCAGACUCCUACGGGAGGCAGCAGUGGGGAAUAUUGGACAAUGGGCGCAAGCCUGAUCCAGCCAUACCGCGUGGGUGAAGAAGGCCUUCGGGUUGUAAAGCCCUUUUGUUGGGAAAGAAAAGCAGCAGGUUAAUACCCCGCUGUUCUGACGGUACCCAAAGAAUAAGCACCGGCUAACUUCGUG
rnacentral:rRNA from 1 species